GAUGAAGAACGUAGCGAAAUGCGAUAAGUAAUGUGAAUUGCAGAAUUCAGUGAAUCAUCGAAUCUUUGAACGCACAUUUCGCCCGCCAGUAUUCUGGCGGGCAUGCCUGUUCGAGCGUCAUUUCAACCAUCAAGCCCCAGGCUUGUGUUGGGGACCUGCGGCUGCCGCAGGCCCUGAAAACCAGUGGCGGGCUCGCUGUCACACCGGGCGUAGUAGAUUUUAUCUCGCUCAGGGCGUGCUGCGGGUUCCGGCCGUUAAAAAGCCUUUUUUACCCAAGGUUGACCUCGGAUCAGGUAGGAAGACCCGCUGAACUUAAGCAUAUCAAUAAGCGGAGGA
rnacentral:misc_RNA from 1 species